rnacentral:tRNA from 3 species
GCCGGAGUGGUGAAAUUGGUAGACACGCCGGAUUCAAAAUCCGGUGCUAGCGAUAGCGUGCCGGUUCAAGUCCGGCCUCCGGUACCA